GGAGGGUGACAGGUAGCUCUUGAAUUAUUGAAAUUACCACAGUGCCCCUUCAUCUUUGGAAAGUAAACUUCUUUGACGGGUGUGGCUUGGGGACAAAAAAAAGAAAAAGAAAAACCUUCUUUGAUGGGUAGGUCACCCUUUUGUUGUAUAAUAUAGGGAAGGGAUGGAGGUAAAUAUUUUCCCGAAUACUUGGAUCGAAGCUACAUGGAGGCAGUCGCUCGUUAAACACUGAAAACUUGGUAGUUUCCGAAGUGACUGUGUAUUGCCAACUUCUCGAUGUUUCUUCUUCUUGCAAAUAAUCUUCAUGCUUGGGUUUAUUCAGUCAUGAGAGAAAAAAAAGGCGUCAAUGUGGGGAUGAGUUGAGAACAAGUAAACUGUGUAGGGACAAGACAGGAGAACUAGAAACGGGAUGACCCAUGCCAUGUUCCUCCCCAGCUUUUCCGACGACGAUCGAAUUAGACGCCCCAACUUUCACAUAUGAUUCGAGACGUCAACUCUUCGUAAGCUGACCUCUGCAAUAAUCGUGAUUUGACGAAAAAAUGAUAGCCUUUUACACCUAUUUUCUGCAGUUCGUGAAGAUAUCAAAUUACGAUGAGUAAUCGGUAAUCUCGAUUAUUUUUCCGGGGUUUUGGACAUGGUAGGUCGGAUUUGAGAAGCGGGCCAAGGUCAUUAGUGCUCGGGCAGGGUUAAUUGGAGGUUCGAAUCAUGGGAGAAAGCCCAAGGAUUGGAAGAUGGCACAUUCAAGAAGCCCAACAUGAAAAAUUUAAUGAAGAUUCAUUAUGGAGGCAUGUGUAUGGACGUCCAUCUCAUGUCCCCAAGCGGAGAAGAUUAGUUUUGGCAGCCGAGAUACUCAUGGAGAAGCAGGCGAUAUUCUCAUGAUAUUCUCUUGUUAUCUUUAAUUUUAGUAAGUCGAAUAAGUCGGAUAUUUCUCCGAUUUUAUUUGAUAUUUUAUUUUUAGACAAUUUAGAUAGCCUUAAGGGUCAAUUUCUUAUGACGAUGUUAUAUUGAUAUCUCAUAAUUAUAAUCGGAUGUAAGCGCCUAUAUAUAGGCUUAAGAUUUGUAAGGGUUUCCGACUAAUAUAUCAAUAGUACCUUUUACUUA